CAUUCCAUGACAAAAAAAAAAAAAUGGAUGUAUGGUUCCAUCGGGUCAAUGUAUUUGGUUUUUCUCGGUGCUAUAAAAUUUCGAAUAACCGGAUUACAUCUAAACCGGCCGGAUUACAUCUAAUAAAUAGAUGUAUUGGAAGUGAUUUUGGUUGAUGUGUCUGUAGUUUGUAGCGGAUGGUGUGUUCUACGCUGAAUUGAAUGAGAGCCUUAUUAUUGUAAUGGCAGAAGGGGGCGGAAGGAACCUUACUCUAUGCAGCCCAAUUGCUAUUCAAGAGUCAUCACUGUUAAUGGAGAAGAGCACAUUAUCAUUUUCGCAAAGAGGGAUAUUCCUAAGUGGGAAGAACUGACCUAUGACUAUAGGUUCUUUUCAAUUGGUGAGCGCCUUUCAUGUUCAUGUGGCUUCCAAGGUUGUCGAGGUGUUGUGAAUGUUGCAGAAGCUGAAGAACAACAGUCGAAAAUCUAUACAAGUAGUAACAAUCCCUAUAUAUUAAUAGAGAAACAUUCUCAAGAAAAUGUUGAUAUG